rnacentral:rRNA from 1 species
UGCCAGCCGCCGCGGUAACACGGGGGGCGCAAGCGUUAUUCGGAAUUAUUGGGCGUAAAGCGCGUGUAGGCGGUUCGUUAAGUCUGAUGUGAAAGCCCGGGGCUCAACCCCGGAAGUGCCUCUAAAACUCCUGGUCUUGAGUUCGAGAGAGGUGAGUGGAAUUCCGAGUGUAGAGGUGAAAUUCGUAGAUAUUCGGAGGAACACCAGUGGCGAAGGCGGCUCACUGGCUCGAUACUGACGCUGAGAUGCGAAAGUGUGGGGAGCAAACAGGAUUAGAUA